GGAGCGGUAGUUCAGUUGGUUAGAAUACCGGCCUGUCACGCCGGGGGUCGCGGGUUCGAGUCCCGUCCGCUCCGCC
rnacentral:tRNA from 1 species